ACCUACGGGGGGCAGCAGUGGGGAAGGUUGGACAAUGGGCGCCAGCCUGACCCAGCAACGCCGCGUGAAGGAAGAAGGCUUUCGGGUUGUAAACUUCUUUUAUCAGGGACGAAGCAAGUGACGGUACCUGAUGAAUAAGCCACGGCUAACUACGUGCCAGCAGCCGCGGUAAUACGUAGGUGGCAGGCGUUAUCCGGAUUUACUGGGUGUAAAGGGCGUGUAGGCGGGAGUGCAAGUCAGAUGUGAAAACUAUGGGCUCAACCCAUAGCCUGCAUUUGAAACUGUACUUCUUGAGUGCUGGAGAG
rnacentral:rRNA from 1 species